rnacentral:rRNA from 1 species
AUUGAACGCUGGCGGCAGGCCUAACACAUGCAAGUCGAGCGGAUGAAGGGAGCUUGCUCCUGGAUUCAGCGGCGGACGGGUGAGUAAUGCCUAGGAAUCUGCCUGGUAGUGGGGGAUAACGUCCGGAAACGGGCGCUAAUACCGCAUACGUCCUGAGGGAGAAAGUGGGGGAUCUUCGGACCUCACGCUAUCAGAUGAGCCUAGGUCGGAUUAGCUAGUUGGUGGGGUAAAGGCCUACCAAGGCGACGAUCCGUAACUGGACUGAGAGGAUGAUCAGUCACACUGGAACUGAGACACGGUCCAGACUCCUACGGGAGGCAGCAGUGGGGAAUAUUGGACAAUGGGCGAAAGCCUGAUCCAGCCAUGCCGCGUGUGUGAAGAAGGUCUUCGGAUUGUAAAGCACUUUAAGUUGGGAGGAAGGGCAGUAAGUUAAUACCUUGCUGUUUUGACGUUACCAACAGAAUAAGCACCAGCUAACUUCGUG